UACGUAGGGGGCAAGCGUUGUCCGGAUUUAUUGGGCGUAAAGAGCGUGUAGGCGGCUUGGUAGGUCCGCUGUGAAAACUCGAGGCUCAACCUCGAGAUGUCGGCGGAAACCACUUGGCUAGAGUCCGGAAGAGGAGAGUGGAAUUCCCGGUGUAGCGGUGAAAUGCGCAGAUAUCGGGAAGAACACCCGUGGCGAAGGCGGCUUUCUGGGACGGUACUGACGCUGAGACGCGAAAGCAUGGGGAGCAAACAGG
rnacentral:rRNA from 1 species